UACGUAGGGGGCAAGCGUUGUCCGGAAUUAUUGGGCGUAAAGCGCGCGCAGGCGGUUUUUUAAGUCUGGGGUUUAACCUUGGGGCUCAACCCCAAGUCGCCCUGGAAACUGGGGAACUGGAGUGCAGGAGAGGAAAGUGGAAUUCCACGUGUAGCGGUGAAAUGCGUAGAGAUGUGGAGGAACACCAGUGGCGAAGGCGACUUUCUGGCCUGUAACUGACGCUGAGGCGCGAAAGCGUGGGGAGCAAACAGG
rnacentral:rRNA from 1 species